GUCCACGGGCACACCACCCUAAACGCGCCCGAUCUCGUCUGAUCUUGGACUCUAAGCCGGGUCCGGUCUGGUUAGUACUUGGAUGGGCUCUAUACUUAACUAUUCUCACUAUGCAGCAGGCCCUGUUGUAA
rnacentral:rRNA from 1 species